GAUGAACGCUGGCGGCGUGCCUAAUACAUGCAAGUCGAGCGAACAGACGAGGAGCUUGCUCCUCUGACGUUAGCGGCGGACGGGUGAGUAACACGUGGAUAACCUACCUAUAAGACUGGGAUAACUUCGGGAAACCGGAGCUAAUACCGGAUAAUAUAUUGAACCGCAUGGUUCAAUAGUGAAAGACGGUUUUGCUGUCACUUAUAGAUGGAUCCGCGCCGCAUUAGCUAGUUGGUAAGGUAACGGCUUACCAAGGCAACGAUGCGUAGCCGACCUGAGAGGGUGAUCGGCCACACUGGAACUGAGACACGGUCCAGACUCCUACGGGAGGCAGCAGUAGGGAAUCUUCCGCAAAGGGCGAAAGCUUGACGGAGCAACGCCGCGUGAGUGAUGAAGGUCUUCGGAUCGUAAAACUCUGUUAUUAGGGAAGAACAAAUGUGUAAGUAACUAUGCACGUCUUGACGGUACCUAAUCAGAGAGCCACGGCUAACUACGUG
rnacentral:rRNA from 1 species